rnacentral:lncRNA from 1 species
CCCCGCGUCCCCGGGUCCUCGCGCCGCACUUGAUGAAGAAGACGCGGCCAUCCCGGCACACCCCGUAGGACCAAUGCUCAGAACUCUCAGAGGAUCCAGAACUACAGCCGGUCCUCGCUGGGCUGUUCCUGUCCAUGUGCCUGGUCAUGGUGCUGGGGAACCUGCUCAUCAUCCUGGCCGUCAGCCCUGACUCCCACCUCCACACCCCCAUGUACUUCUUCCUCUCCAACCUGUCCUUGCCUGACAUCGGUUUCACCUCCACCAUGGUCCCCAAGAUGAUUGUGGACAUCCAAUCUCACAGCAGUCAUCUCCUAUGCGGGCUGCCUGACUCAGAUGUCUCUUUUUGCCAUUUUUGGAGGCAUGGAAGAAAGACAUGCUCCUGAGUGUGAUGGCCCUAUGACCGGUUUGUAGCCAUCUGUCACCCUCUAUAUUAUUCAGCCAUCAUGAACCCAUGUUUCUGUGGCUUUCUAGUUCUGUUGUCUUGUUGUCUCAGUCUUUUAGACUCCCAGCUGCACAAUUUGAUUGCCUUGCAAAUUACCUGCUUCAAGGAUGUGGAAAUUCCUAAUUUCUUCUGUGACCCUUCUCAACUCCCCCACCAUGCGUGUUGUGACACCUUCACCAAUAACAUAGUCAUGUAUUUCCCUGCUGCCAUAUUUGGUUUUCUUCCCACCUCGGGGAUCCUUUUCUCUUACUAUAAAAUUGUUUCCUCCAUUCUGAGGGUUUCAUCAUCAGGUGGGAACUAUAAAGCCCUCUCUGCCUGUGGGUCUCACCUGUCAGUUGUUUGCUUAUUUUAUGGAACAGGCGUUGGAGGGUACCUCAGUUCAGAUGUGUCAUCUUCCCCCAGAAAGGGUGCAGUGGCCUCAGUGAUGUACACGGUGGUCACCCCCAUGCUGAACCCCUUCAUCUACAGCCUGAGAAACAGGGAUAUUAAAAGUGUCCUGCGGCGCCUGCACGGCAGAACA